ACUUUUAGCGUGAUUGGUCAAAGGUAGCGAGGUAAUUUGUUUUUUUAUUGGAUUCUAGUAUGAAUGGAUUUUUUGUUAUUAAAUAUAUUGAUUUUAAAAAGAAUUUUAAAUUUAUUUAAAAAAUAAUAAAUAAAAUAAAACUAAGAAAAGUCUUUAGAAAUUUAUUAUUUAAUUUAAUUAGGGAAAUAAAAUAAUUAAUAUUUUUUUCUUAAUCAAAAAAAAAAAUUUCUCUAGAGUUAACAGGAAUAAAUAUUAAUUUAUUAUUUUUACAUCGAUGUUGUUUUAUUUAAUAUUAAAAAUGAGAAACUUUUGAGUGAGAGACUGUUCUUCUUUUUUUAAUACGUGAAAUUAGUUUAAUU
rnacentral:rRNA from 4 species